CUUGUUUUGUGAGGCUUGUGAGGGCUGAGUUCGCUUACCUGGGCGGGUCUGAGUUACUCGUGUUGCGGUACUCGUGUGUCAGCGUCCAGGAAGCCGCCUAAUAACCCGGGCAGUGAGUGCCCUCUAAGUGACAUGAUUUGUCGCCUAUUCUGGAACAAUGCCCUGCGGGCUCCAUGGGCUAUGAAGAGGUGACGUCACUUGUACAGGUCUCUGAGGGUUAGCUGAGGUCCUGGGGGAUUGCAAUGUGAUGCUCAUGGUGUCUUUACUACUCCUUCAUCAGUGACUGGAAAGCUGGGCAACCAUGCAGGUCUUGGGAAACCAUGACAUUUUGCUUAUUCAGCACCAGACAUUUUAUUGAGAAGGGUGUCUUCUUUUUGUC